AGCGAACGCUGGCGGCAGGCUUAACACAUGCAAGUCGAGCGGGCAUCCUUGUGGUGUCAGCGGCAGACGGGUGAGUAACGCGUGGGAACGUGCCCUUCGGUUCGGAAUAACUCAGGGAAACUUGAGCUAAUACCGGAUACGUGCGAGAGCAGAAAGGUUUAUCUGCCGAAGGAUCGGCCCGCGUCUGAUUAGCUAGUUGGUGAGGUUACGGCUCACCAAGGCGACGAUCAGUAGCUGGUCUGAGAGGAUGAUCAGCCACACUGGGACUGAGACACGGCCCAGACUCCUACGGGAGGCAGCAGUGGGGAAUAUUGGACAAUGGGGGCAACCCUGAUCCAGCCAUGCCGCGUGAGUGAUGACGGCCUUAGGGUUGUAAAGCUCUUUUCUCCGGGACGAUAAUGACGGUACCGGAGGAAUAAGCCCCGGCUAACUUCGCG
rnacentral:rRNA from 1 species